rnacentral:rRNA from 1 species
UGCCAGCCGCCGCGGUAAUACGGAGGGUCCGAGCGUUAUCCGGAAUCAUUGGGUUUAAAGGGUUCGUAGGCGGAUAUGAAAGUCAGAAGUGAAAUCCCAGAGCUCAACUCUGGAACUGCUUUUGAAACUCCAUAUCUAGAAUCCGGUAGAGGUCAGGAGAAUUCCUAGUGUAGAGGUGAAAUUCGCAGAUAUUAGGAGGAAUACCAGUGGCGUAGGCGCCUGACCGGGCCGGUAUUGACGCUCAUGUACGAAAGCGUGGGGAGCAAACAGGAUUAGAUA